ACGGCUCAGUAACACGUAGCUAACCUGCCCUUAAGUCAAGGAUAACCUCGGGAAACUGAGGAUAAGACUUGAUAGGAGAUUUACCCUGGAAAGAUUUAUCUCUGAAACUCGAGCUUAAGGAUGGGGCUGCGGCGGAUUAGGUUGUUGGCGGGGUAAUAGCCCACCAAGCCUUUGAUCCGUAAGGGCUCUUAGCGGAGAGGCCCUGAGAGGGAAUCUGAGACACUAUUCCCAGCCCUACGGGGUGCAGCAGUUAGGAAUCUUUUGCAAUGCGCGCAAGCGUGGCAAAGCGAACCAGAGUGCUUUUCAUUUUUGAAAAGCUUUUAUGCGCUGUAAAAAAGCGUAGGAAUAAGGACUGGGUAAGACGAGUGCCAGCCGCCGCGGUAAUCCCCGCGGUCCAAGUCGCAGCCAUUUUUAUUGGGUCUAAAACAUCCGUAGCUUGCUUAGUAAGUUUCCUGUGAAAUUCUGUCUCUUAAGGGCAGAGCGUGCAGGAAGUACUGUUAAGCUAGAGACUGGAAGACGUGAAAAGUACGUUCGAAGUAGCGGUAAAAUGCGUUAAUCUUGAGCGGACUUCCAAUAGCGAAGGCAUUUCACGAGGACAGUUCUGACAGUAAGGGAUGAAGGCUAGGGGCGCGAAACGGAUUAGAUACCCGUGUAGUCCUAGCAGUAAACACUGCACACUAAACAUUAGUACCUCCUCGAGAGGUAUUGGUGCUGUAGCGAAGGCGAAGAGUGUGCUACCUGGGAAGUAUAGUCGCAAGGCCGAAACUUAAAGGAAUUGGCGGGGGAGCAC
rnacentral:rRNA from 1 species